AUGAAGGGCGGGGCCAAGGUGGUCGUGGUGCCGCACAAGCACGACGGCGUCUUCAUCGCCAAGGCCAAGGAGGACGCGCUCUGCACCAAGAACAUGGUCGCCGGCGAGUCCGUCUACGGCGAGAAGAGGGUCUCCGUCCAGAACGAGGACGGAUCCAAGGUUGAGUACAGGGUGUGGAACCCCUUCAGGUCCAAGCUGGCUGCUGCUGUGCUCGGUGGUGUGGACAACAUCUGGAUUGCUCCUGGAACACGUGUGUUGUACCUCGGAGCUGCCUCUGGAACAACUGUGUCUCAUGUGUCUGACAUUGUUGGACCGACUGGGUUGGUGUAUGCCGUUGAGUUCUCUCACCGGAGUGGUAGGGAUCUUGUCAACAUGGCCAAGAAGAGGACCAAUGUCAUCCCCAUCAUUGAGGAUGCUAGGCACCCGGCUAAGUACAGGAUGCUGGUCGGCAUGGUUGAUGUUAUCUUUUCAGAUGUUGCACAGCCUGACCAGGCAAACUGUAUCGACUCCACCCAGGCGGCCGAGGCCGUGUUCGCCAGUGAAGUGGAGAAGCUCAAGGCCGACCAGUUCAAGCCCUCAGAGCAGGUGACCCUGGAGCCCUUCGAGCGCGACCACGCUUGCGUCGUUGGUGGUUACAGGAUGCCCAAGAAGCAAAAGUGA
rnacentral:rRNA from 1 species